UGAGACGGAGACGGAAGCGCCCUCGCCGACCUCGUCCUGUCCACCCGCUCCGGAUCCAGCCCCAACGGCUACCCACCAGCUCCACUUUCCUUCUAUACCCGCCGCCAUGCCACGCACGCCACCUCGCCGAAGCCGUGUCCUGCAAGGACAAGCCUCCGGCUGCCGCGACUGCCUCUGCCCCGGCUAUAAAGGCACGCCCUUUGGCCGGCCAGCUCCCCCUCUCUUUGCCAAGGCCACUCCUCCUCUCUUUGAGUCUUCGUUCACGCCAUGCCUCUCGCCUCGAUUCAUCCUCGACCUCGACUGAUGCCUCGCCUCCUCUCGCGUCUGGUUUCAUUUCGCCCAUCCUCGCUCGAUUCGUCCAUUCAGAUUAGAAGAAGCAGAUUUGGUUUUGCUCAUCCGUGGGGUUCUUGAUUUAUUUGGUUCUGCUCGUCCUCGUUGUCGUUCGUUCAGAAACCGCGUCUAGUUCUUUCGAUUCUGCUCGUCCUCGCUGUCAUUCGUCUAGGAAUUGCGUCUGGUUCAUUCGAUUCUGCUCGUCCUCGCCGUCGUUCGUUUAGAAAUGGCGUCUGGUUCAUUCGAUUCUGCUCUACUCAUCCUCGAUGUAGUUCGUUUAGAUCAGAAUCACCUCUGUUUUGAUUUUGCUUGUCCUCGCCGUCGUCAGUUUAGACAGAAUUGCGUCUGGUUUGAUUCUGCGCGUUCUCACCGUAGUCCGUUUGCAAUCGCGUUUGCUUUGAUUCUGCUCGGUCCCCUGUGUUGCUGCUGGGUUUGUUACGCUGACGCUCUCGUGUGUUCUUCGUGCCAUCUCGUCGUGGGUAUCUGUGGAGGAAGCGAGCGGUCAGUCGGUUUGGGUCGUCUAGUUUGCAAACUAACAAGUCUGUUUGAGAAACUUCUGCGUCCGGCCUGCGUUUCGUCUUCGUGUCUGUUUUUGAAAUUGGAUUGCCGUUUAUCGCGCUCGUUCAGAUCGGUUCCUCUGUCCCGUCACCUGCGUUGUUUGUCCGUUAUUUUCAUAUCUGAAAUGCAUGCGCCCUUUGAUACUACUGUACUUGAUGGAUGUUCAUAUCUCAAACGCUGCCUUGUUCAGAUCGGUUGUUCUGAUUGAAAUAGGAUUGUUACCCCUGUGUCGAUACUUAUUCUACUUGAUGGAUGUCCAGGGUGUUACUACUUAUGUUCUUUUCAAUUGCUUAAUUCUUGUCAUGCUUUGCUGAUGUUCCCAUAUAUGGUUAUGUGUAUUCAGGGGUGCUUAGGCAGAAGGAUUUACUAGAGUGCAAACCAUGUAAUUCCUCAUGUUGCUGCUACUUCACAGUCACAGUGCUUGAAUUUCUUUAUAGCUUUAUCUGAAUCACACUCACCGCUCUAGAGAAAUCAGUUUACUCAUUCAAGUUCUGGAAUGUCCUUAUAGCUUUCUCUGUUUGUGCCCCUAUCUAUGUAUGUUUCUUGUGUGCAAGCGCCGCUCCAUUCUGUGUGUGUGGCUUGAUGGUUAAUAUGUGUGGCUUGACUCUGUGUGUGUGUGUCUUGAUUGUGUGUGUGUGUGGCUUGACUGUAUGUGUGUGUGAAUGUGUGUGGCUUGAUGGUGAAUAUGUCUGGCUUGACUCUGUGUGUGUUUGUGUGUGGGACUGUGAGUGGCUUGACUCUGUGUGUGUGGCUUUGUGUGUGUGUACGACUGUGUGAAUAUUGCAUUUGCUUGAUGGUGUGGCUUCUGUAUUGUAUGCUUUGUUGAUUGAUUUGGUUGUAUAACUUGUGUUUUAUAUUGUUGCGGCAUGAUUGGUUGUUGUUUGUUGAAUGUGAACUCGUAUCUUGACGAAUAAUCAUGUAUGCUAACUUGGUAUCGGUAGUUCCUGAUCAUAGGUAACACACCUAUUACUUUUUAGUGUAGACUAACUAUUCUUUUUUCUGAACUUUUUUUGUGAUUAUGUCUUUACAUUGCACUGCUCCCAGAUCCAUAUCGACAUGCCCACACUGUCUGACGAGGAUAAAGAUGUUAUGAAGAAAUAGGGUGCCCCAACCAAGAUUGACUUCCUCUCUCUUUCUUAUACAAGGCAUGCAGAAGAUGUGCUGCCAGCAUGGGAGUUCCUCUCAAAGUUAGGUGAACUUAGUCAAACUCUGUUUUUGCAAAACUUGAGAAUGUGGAGAGCCUGAACCAUUUUGAUUGGAUCCUGGAAGAAGCAGAUGGUAUAAUUCUGUCAAGAGGAAACCUUGGAAUUGAUCUUCCACCUGAAAAGGUGUUCUUAUUUCAGAAGUCUGCUCUGCACAAGUGCAACAUGGCUGAGGCAACUGAUGU